GGACCCAUCCCUUCAGCAGGUAGCUACCUACAUUGAAAGAUUUCACUCCUAACUUUCUGGCUAUUCUUUCAGCCUCAAGCUCCACUUUCUGAUAACCAAGUCUAUUGGACAACAAUUUUAUGCAACUUGAGGUGCCUAUUGAUUGAGGAGUACUCUUGGGUAAAAUACUGCAGAUUCACAGAUCUUUACUUCCUGCAGUCAAUCUUGCAAGGGAAUGGAAAACAUGACCUUUCUCUCUCUCGCCUCAUCUUAGCAUCAUGGAUUGACCUUUAG
rnacentral:lncRNA from 12 species